UACGGAGGGAGCUAGCGUUGUUCGGAAUUACUGGGCGUAAAGCGUGCGUAGACGGUUAUUUAAGUCGGAUGUGAAAGCCCCGGGCUCAACCUGGGAAUUGCAUUCGAGACUGAAUAGCUAGGGUACGGUAGAGGGAAGUGGAAUUUCCGGUGUAGCGGUGAAAUGCGUAGAUAUCGGAAGGAACAUCAGUGGCGAAAGCGACUUCCUGGACCAGUACCGACGUUCAGGCACGAAAGCGUGGGGAGCAAACAGG
rnacentral:rRNA from 1 species